rnacentral:rRNA from 1 species
CCUACGGGUGGCUGCAGUGAGGAAUAUUGGUCAAUGGACGCAAGCCUGAACCAGCCAUGCCGCGUGCAGGAAGACGGCUCUAUGAGUUGUAAACUGCUUUUGUAUGAGGGUAAACUGCGAUACGCGUACCUUUCUGAACGUAUCCUACGAAUAAGGAUCGGCUAACUCCGUGCCAGCAGCCGCGGUAAUACGGAGGAUUCAAGCGUUAUCCGGAUUUAUUGGGUUUAAAGGGUGCGUAGGCGGUCGGGUAAGUUAGAGGUGAAAUCCCGGGGCUCAACCUCGGAAUUGCAGUUGAUACUGUUAGGCUAGAGAGUAGUAGCGGUAGGCGGAAUGUAGGGUGUAGCGGUGAAAUGCUUAGAGAUCAUGCAGAACACCGAUUGCGAAGGCAGCUUAC